UUACCGAUCAAAUGAUUGGUUUUAAGGAUGUGAGCUAGAGGAUUUGAGGCUGACAUGAUGGUUUAACUGCUCAAGUAGAGAUUUCAAUUAGAUUUUUGUACUUAAUAUUUUAAUUUACUUCUGGAGACUUUAAGAUGCAAAUAAUGACUCAUACUAAUUUUUCGGAUUCCUCCACUCUCUGAAAAGGAAACGAAAAUCCUGACGUGACAAAAAAUUUUUAGUGGGUGCUGCGAUCCCACCGAUGAUAUGCACCUCACCUAACAGUUAUUGGUAGCAUGCACAUCGAUGCGUAGGUGAUUCUUUGCCCAGA
rnacentral:lncRNA from 1 species